GUCUUUGUUCACUCUCCCUCAAGGGCUUCUGGCUUAAAAUGCCUUACUCUUUGGUUUGUGUUAGUGCCAGAGGUCUUUCGAGUGAGAGUGGAUAAAUUCUG
rnacentral:pre_miRNA from 1 species